ensembl:lncRNA
UCUUUCUGCUGCUCCGAGCUCGCCAUCUUGUGGACACCAGCAGAACCUACAAACAGAGCCACAGGAAGCGUUUCUUUUAAAAACAGCAGAUCGAGCGACCUGAGAGACUGUUCAUCAAGCUGAAUUCAGGUUAUUUGUUGUGAAAGCUCCACAGGUUCAGAGAGGAAUGGUCUGCUUAAAACUAUUUCAGCUGGGAGGCUCUGCUUUGCUGCUCAGAAAAUGAAGCUGCUCACACUCAGCAUGAUGUGAUGUGGUGGAGAGAGGAACAGGAAAAUAACAACACAAAGAUGCUGAACAGCUGAUGGAGUUUCUCAUCAGUGGAGACUUUGAGGCUGAUGUGGAACAGGAACGGUACUGGGCCAGGCCGAACACCAGCCAUCCCCACCCUAGGGACAGACACGGGUGCAAGGACGAGCUGGGCUCUGGCUGCCUUUGCCCUGGGAGCCGGUGUAGGUGCGGGAGCUAGCUGGACCUCUGCUGCUUCCACCCGAGAAACUGAGACGGGUGCAGGAGUCAGCAGGGUCACAGUUGACCUCAUCUGGGGAGCCGGAACAGGCGCAGGCGACGGCUGGGUGUCCAUCAACCCCACCCGAGGAGCAGGUACGGGUGCAGGGAUGAAUGGAGCCUCUGCCAGGCUGGGGACAGAAGCAGGGACCAGCUGGACCUCAGCCACCCUCACCCAAGGAACUGAUACGGGUGCAAGGGAAAGCUGGGCCCGUGCUGCCCUGGGAACAGGUACUGGAGUUGGAGAGCUGAGCUCAGGAGCAGUAAGAGACACUGGGAAAACCAAGUUAGUGGAGCCAAACAGUUUCAGCAAACAGACUUAUGGCGGGAUGGUUUUAGCAACUCUGAAGUUUUUAAAACAGU